AAGACUUUACUUUUAGCAAUCUUCUGUAUAGUUUGUUACUAGUAAAAACUAGUGGAAGUUUCAUUGGGUGCGUAGAGCACCGAAAACCACGAGGAGGAGGCGGUGUGGUGUUGUUUUCUGAACCUGAAACUGUCACUUGCCACUGUUUUAUUGCGUUUGUCUUUUGGCAUUGAUGGUUGUUUUUUCUUUCCUCUUGGGAGAGUAAGAGGGAGAGAGCGCAGUCUGAGUGGU
rnacentral:snoRNA from 1 species